GUACCGUGAGGGAAAGGUGAAAAGCACCCCGACGAGGGGAGUGAAACAGUACCUGAAACCGAACGCCUACAAUCAGUUGGAGGGCCCUUGCGGCCUGACAGCGUACCUUUUGUAUAAUGGGUCAUCGACUUGGUCUCACGAGCAAGCUUAAACCGUUAGGUGUAGGCGCAGCGAAAGCGAGUCUUAAUAGGGCGCAUGAGUUCGUGGGAUCAGACCCGAAACCGAGUGAUCUAGGCAUGGCCAGGUUGAAGGUGCAGUAACAUGCACUGGAGGACCGAACCCACAUCUGUUGAAAAAGAUCGGGAUGAGCUGUGCCUAGGGGUGAAAGGCCAAUCAAACUCGGAGAUAGCUGGUUCUCUGCGAAAUCUAUUUAGGUAGAGCGUCGUCCGAAUACCCCGGGGGGUAGAGCACUGGAUGGGUAAUGGGGACUCACCGUCUUACUGAUCCUAACCAAACUCCGAAUACCCGGGAGUACUAGACGGCAGACACACUGCGGAUGCUAACGUCCGUAGUGGAGAGGGAAACAACCCUGACCUCCAGCUAAGGCCCCUAAUUCAUGGCUAAGUGGGAAAGCAGGUGGGAUGUCCAAAACAACCAGGAAGUUGGCUUAGAAGCAGCCAUCUUUUAAAGAUAGCGUAACAGCUCACUGGUCUAAUUAAGACGUCCUGCGGCGAAGAUGUAACGGGGCUCAAGCCAUGAGCCGAAGCUGAGGAUGCACAUAGUGCAUGGUAGCAGAGCGUAGUGU
rnacentral:rRNA from 1 species